AACGAACGCUGGCGGCAUGCCUAACACAUGCAAGUCGAACGAAGCCUUCGGGCUUAGUGGCGCACGGGUGCGUAACGCGUGGGAAUCUGCCCUUGGGUUCGGAAUAACAGUUAGAAAUGACUGCUAAUACCGGAUGAUGUCUUCGGACCAAAGAUUUAUCGCCCAAGGAUGAGCCCGCGUAGGAUCAGGUAGUUGGUGGGGUAAUGGCCCACCAAGCCGACGAUCCUUAGCUGGUCUGAGAGGAUGAUCAGCCACACUGGGACUGAGCCACGGCCCAGACUCCUACGGGAGGCAGCAGUGGGGAAUAUUGGACAAUGGGCGAAAGCCUGAUCCAGCAAUGCCGCGUGAGUGAUGAAGGCCUUCGGGUUGUAAAGCUCUUUUACCAGGGAUGAUAAUGACAGUACCUGGAGAAUAAGCUCCGGCUAACUCCGUGCCAGCAGCCGCCGUAA
rnacentral:rRNA from 1 species